rnacentral:rRNA from 1 species
ACAACUCUCAACAACGGAUAUCUUGGCUCCCGUAACGAUGAAGAACGCAGCGAAAUGCGAUACGUAGUGUGAAUUGCAGAAUUCCGUGAACCAUCGAAUCUUUGAACGUAAAUUGCGCUCGAGGCCUCGGCCAAGAGCAUGUCUGCCUCAGCGUCG